rnacentral:rRNA from 1 species
AGGACGAACGCUGGCGGCGUGCUUAACACAUGCAAGUCGAGCGGUAAGGCCUUUCGGGGUACACGAGCGGCGAACGGGUGAGUAACACGUGGGUGAUCUGCCCUGCACUUCGGGAUAAGCCUGGGAAACUGGGUCUAAUACCGGAUAUGACCUCAGGUUGCAUGACUUGGGGUGGAAAGAUUUAUCGGUGCAGGAUGGGCCCGCGGCCUAUCAGCUUGUUGGUGGGGUAAUGGCCUACCAAGGCGACGACGGGUAGCCGACCUGAGAGGGUGACCGGCCACACUGGGACUGAGACACGGCCCAGACUCCUACGGGAGGCAGCAGUGGGGAAUAUUGCACAGUGGGCGAAAGCCUGAUGCAGCGACGCCGCGUGAGGAUGACGGCCUUCGGGUUGUAAACCUCUUUCAGCAGGACGAAGCGCAAGUGACGGUACCUGCAGAAGAAGCACCGGCUAACUACGUGCUAGCAGCCGC